rnacentral:rRNA from 1 species
GUGUCAGCCGCCGCGGUAAUACGUAGGUCCCGAGCGUUGUCCGGAUUUAUUGGGCGUAAAGCGAGCGCAGGCGGUCAGAUAAGUCUGAAGUUAAAGGCUGUGGCUUAACCAUAGUACGCUUUGGAAACUGUUUAACUUGAGUGCAAGAGGGGAGAGUGGAAUUCCAUGUGUAGCGGUGAAAUGCGUAGAUAUAUGGAGGAACACCGGUGGCGAAAGCGGCUCUCUGGCUUGUAACUGACGCUGAGGCUCGAAAGCGUGGGGAGCAAACAGGAUUAGAAACCCGUGUAGUCC